UCUAGAGGAACAGGGAAGUCUAUUUAGUAAAAGAGGACCAUAAAACUGUCUUCAGAGAUGCAAAAGGCUGCUGCAGAGAAAAAUGAAAUCGUUGGUGCUCCACAAGGAUGGUGGAUAGAAGAAACCGUUGCUAUGGAUUCUGCUGACUGCAUAGAAUUUCAAGUUGUAGUGCCCGUGAAACUCAAAACUUUGGUGGAAAGCAGUAAAUAUUCAGGUUUGAAUGCUUUGAUUGAACCAGUAUGCAACUAACUCCUAUUGUAUCUAAGCUGAGGAGGUCAUCUGGACAGCUGAUGGACCAUAACUGUCAAGAGAUGUAGUGUGAGAGAAUUACUGUUGGUUUUUUCCUCCCCGAAAAGUGUCACUCAUGUUACCAUAAAAGUGCUGUUGCUGCAUGCAUGUACUGGUUUCAACAUCAUUGAUUUUGGUGAAAAGCUGUUCUGUAUGCUACACAUUUUUAAGGGAAACGUCAACCUUGAUUCAGAUAUCUGAAAACAAAAGCUUAUGAGGAGAAAUGGAUUCAUCUCACCAAAGACAAAAAGGAAACUGCUCACGACUGCAUUGCUGAUGAAACUAUGAGGGAAAAUCUAAGCACAGCUACGAACCUGUAUACUUUUUAUCCAAAGGCAAGUCAGCGGCUGUGCAGACUGGCAGCUGAGUGAAAUUUCGUGGCAGAGAGGAGCCCAAACAAGGUGGUCCUUUCCAGCUUUAAAGGCCAUGAAAUGUUUGCCUGCUAAAUGAUAGAAUCUCUUGUUCUGCCUGUUUCCAGCGCAUUCACUACAGUGGUACCAGCCACCCAUCACGCUUUACCAGCUGUGGCCAUUUUUACCCUUAGCUCUUGAUACCAGCAGUGAUCCAAAAAUAAAUUUCAUACUUUUGCUGCAACUUUCUAUUAUUAGUUUGUUUGGUGUU